rnacentral:rRNA from 1 species
GAUGAACGCUAGCGGCAAGCCUAACACAUGCAAGUCGAACGGUAACUUUUGGUGCUUGCACCGAAAGACGAGUGGCGAACGGGUGCGUAACGCGUAUGCAAUCUGCCUUUUACUAGGGUAUAGCCCAGAGAAAUUUGGAUUAAUCCCCUAUAAUAUCAUUUAAUCGCAUGAUUUUAUGAUUAAAGCUUCGGCGGUAAAAGAUGAGCAUGCGUCCUAUUAGUUAGUAGGUGAGGUAACGGCUCACCUAGACUCCGAUAGGUAGGGGUCCUGAGAGGGAGAUCCCCCACACUGGUACUGAGACACGGACCAGACUCCUACGGGAGGCAGCAGUGAGGAAUAUUGGACAAUGGACGAAAGUCUGAUCCAGCUAUGCCGCGUGCAGGAUGACGGCCCUAUGGGUUGUAAACUGCUUUUAUACAGGAAGAAAAACUCCGACGUGUCGGAACUUGACGGUACUGUAAGAAUAAGGAUCGGCUAACUCCGUG